AUCUCUUUCUGGAGAUCCCUCCUUGGUGAAGCUUUCCCUUGUGAACCUGCCAUCUUCUGGUACAGCAGCAGCAAGGCCCUUCUUUGGCUGUGGCCAGCUGCUGUAGCCAGGAGAUAGAUCCCAGGUCCACGUAGCACCCUACCCUCUUGCUUUCAGCAGCACAAAUGGAGCCAGGAUGCGACACCUCCCAAAACGCAGCCCUUGAAUAUCUCCUUUCCAGAAACUUCUUCCUGCUGGCUUAUGCAACGAGUUGUUUCCAUGAUCAUGGGUAUAUGUGCAAGGGAGAAGGAGAGCAAAAAGAAAUAUUUAGCGUGACGUAGCAAUGGCUGAGCUGGGCCCAGGCUCCUGCUGCUGUUCCUGUAUGCUUCCUGUGGACUCCAUUGGGGUGGGCAGUGAGCUCAUCCCAUCCGUGCUCCAUGUCACUGCCAUCUCUCCUUCCUCCAGCGGCCACUGUUGUUCCAUGGGGAAAGGUGGUAGUGAAGGCGUGUGUUCCCCAGCUGAAGCUCAACGCACCUUUUUGACAUCAAGGGAUGGCCCUGAGCCAAGAGAGCCAGGGAAGAGGUGGAUGAGCAGCGAGGAGGAGCUGCACUUCCAGGCUGUGGUCUGCAGGCUGUCCAGAUGCCAGGGCUCCUCAUGCAGCUGCUUGGGCUGCGCAGGAGUGGCUGUGGCACAGGGCUGUCCCACCCUGACUGCUUUGCUCUGCCUCGGGAAUUCCAUGGUCUUUGUGAUUGCCUUAAUGCCUGAGGAAGGAUAAGAGAUAAGAGGAACAGGAGGAGGCAGCACAGCAGGAUUCUACCUAUAAGCCCAGCAGCAGAGACUCUGUACUGGCAGCCCAGUGGGUAGGAGGGCUUCAGGACCAAUCUGACUGUUUAGGGGCAGCCUCUUUAUUCAUUGUUUCAAUGCUUUUUGGAAGCAAUGCAAUCCAAUCAGCCCAUCCACCCAACUGAGCACUGAAGCCUCUGUCCCAGAGUCUCCUCUGCUCCUGGCUGGGAAAAGGAAAGGAGGGAGGAAGUGCUUCUGCCAACCCCUUACAGACUAGAAGCAGCAGCACAGUGCUAUGAUCCCUGCAUGCACCCUGCCCUGUAUCAAACCCAGUGGAGCAGGAGCAAGGUGGGCACAGUGCUGCUCACACACUCCCACAGCAGCACCUCUGAGCCAGGGAAGACUUCUUAUUCCAAUGCAGCUGCCAAGCCAGGGAGCUGUUACACUUCUGCAAACUGAGGAGCCAAGCAGUGCAGUGCCUGCUCAGAUUUACUGACUCCAUCACUCACGUUCCCCACAGGGGCCAAUAAGGCUCCGCAGCUGCACGCCGGCACUGAGUGCUGGCUGUAUGCUGUGAUUUACUGUGCUCUUCUCCCCAUGCCUUGUGCACCUUCAGAGUGCUGACAUGAGUGUGGGCUGAUUGGGUUAUUUAUUUAAUUCUGUAUUUACGAGGACAAUGAACUUCCAGUCCCCACAAGCUUCAUGCUGCUUUUCUUCUCCCCCUAUUUUGUUUUUCUUGGCUCUUCUAAAAGGAAAAUCGGGAUGUAUUUUACUUUGGAGAAAUGACAUUGGCAUCAGCCUUGUCUGAGAAGGCCUCUUUGUGCUGGAAAAUGAGUAAAUAAACCACUCACUACAGCUUUCCCAGAAGAGAUUAACAUUGCUCUGUGCUGAACAUAGCACCUCUGGACGGGAAUGGGAACACACCAAAGGGACGUACUUGACCCAGACGUUCUGGAGUUUGUCUGCUCUGAUCAUUGCUCAAUUCUACUUUACCUUCUCUGCUGUGGCAAAAUUUCAGAGCUUGAUUUAUCAAGGAAUUCAAGCACUGCUGAGCUGGGUUUCAAUCCCUUUGUGCAGUACGAGAGUUUAAUGAUUCCCAAAGGUAUGAGCUUGUUGCUUUGUUUUAACCAAAUAUCUACGCAUAACAAAAGAUAUGCAAGCAAUAUGUUUAAAGCGGGGAGCAGCAUUUUUCAGCUAAUCAUGGCAUUUGGUUUUCACUCUGGUGGUGCACAGGACUCCUGAACAUGUGCUGGAUAACGCAAGUUAUCCAGAAAGCCGUAUGCACUGCUGUGAAUUAUUUUGCUUAUUUUUUGCAUUAUGUUAGCUGAGAGCUUGAUGUAAAUUCUCAUAUCCACUUGUUAGUCAGAAUGAUCCCCAAAUCCUUCCCAUGCACAGUAUUUCAAACCACAGCCUCUUAGAACUGCAAAUUCAUUUCUAUAUUUAUA